AGUGCAUUCGUCGCCGGAGGAUGAUGUUGCAUUUCACCCAAGUGGAAAUUUCUUGGUGACUGGCGGCGAUGACGAUACAAUAAGAUUGCUUGAUUUAUUAGAAGUUGCCCGUUUGGAAAUCUAAUUUGCAUACAUUUGAUGCCAA